rnacentral:rRNA from 1 species
UACGGGAGGCAGCAGUGGGGAAUAUUGGACAAUGGGCGAAAGCCUGAUCCAGCCAUGCCGCGUGUGUGAAGAAGGCCUUUUGGUUGUAAAGCACUUUAAGCGAGGAGGAGGCUACUGAGAUUAAUACUCUUGGAUAGUGGACGUUACUCGCAGAAUAAGCACCGGCUAACUCUGUGCCAGCAGCCGCGGUAAU